rnacentral:lncRNA from 1 species
UGCCAGUGUCUCCACACUCUUUGGUUAAGAGGACAACCAACCCAUAUGGCCUACAGCGAUCUAUGCUCGAUAGAAGCUGUCGUCCUUAUUAACAGCCUAUCAUUUGGUCGUGAACAGUUUUAAGGACUAAUCGAUAAAUCCUCUCUUUAUCGAAUCUAAAUAGUCCUAAGGACUUCAUCAUAACAACAGAGUUCAUUAAAAGAUGAAAGCU